UACGGAGGGUGCGAGCGUUGUUCGGAAUUACUGGGCGUAAAGGGCGCGUAGGCGGCCUGUUAAGUCGAACGUGAAAUCCCCGGGCUCAACCCGGGAACUGCGUCCGAUACUGGCAGGCUUGAAUCCGGGAGAGGGAUGCGGAAUUCCAGGUGUAGCGGUGAAAUGCGUAGAUAUCUGGAGGAACACCGGUGGCGAAGGCGGCAUCCUGGACCGGCAUUGACGCUGAGGCGCGAAAACCAGGGGAGCAAACGGG
rnacentral:rRNA from 1 species